ensembl:lncRNA NUTM2B-AS1 NUTM2B antisense RNA 1
GCAGAGCGCGAGAGGUCCCGUCCGCCCCAGCCGCGUCUGGGCCAGGAUAAAAGCAAAACCAUAUUCCUGCUGCUGUCAGUUAUGAUGCACUGAGAAAACUUCAGAGACCUAAACUUUUUCCAGAGAAGAGAAGCUUUACUGGUGUUCCAGCCCUAAGCAUUGACUUCACUAAUGGAUGUGACCUGGUUGGCAGCAGUAGCUUGCACAACAUGCUUGUUUGCAAAACCUUUGUUCAAGAAAACGGCAGAUGCUCUGUUGAAUCCACUGGAGAUUGUUCUGAUACUAAGGACAAGUAUCAACCAUCUUUCCUGUGAAAAAUUCCCUCUCGUACUUUAGUUCUGUGGAUCCAAAAUUUAUAGCAUUCUUCUACCACCACAGGGGCUCAUAUGACAUUAACAGACAAGACACUUUUCAGAAAGACAGGCAACGUGUUGGACCUUCCGGAGCUUCUCAGAAGACAGAGGGUUUUCUUUUGAGGCUGUUGUACAGUGGCCUGAUUAUAGCUCACUGUAGCCUCGAAAUUCUGGGCUGAAAUGAUCCUCCUGCCUCAGCCUCCAAAGUAGCUGAGACUAGAGGCUGGUCUUGAACUCUUGGGCUGAAGAGAUUCUCCCACCUCAGCCUCCCAAGGUGUUGAGAUUACAAGCAUGAGCCACCUCACCUGGCCAAGAGCUAGUUGUUAAAAGAGCCUAGCAGUACCCACCUCUUUCUUGUUUCCUCUCUCACCAUGUGAUCUCCACACACAUUGGCUUGCCUUCCCUUUCUGACAUGAGCGGAAGCAGCCUGAGGCCCUCACCAGAUGUGGAUGCCAGUGCCAUGCUUCUUGUACAAUCUGCAGAAUCAUAAGCUAAAUACACCUCUUUUCUUUAUAAAUUACCCAGCCUUGGGUAUUCCUUUAUAGCAACACAAACGGAGAAAGACAUAUGCAAUUUGCCAUUUUAAUCAUUUUUAACUGUACAAUUUGGUGGUAUUAAUUAUAUUUACAAUGUUGUGCAACCGUUACCACCAUCUAUUACCAAAGCCCUUUCAUCACCCCAAAUAGAAACUGUGCUUAUUCAGCAAAAACUCCCAUUUUCCUCUCCUUCCAGCCCCUGGUAACCUCUGGUAACCUCUAAUCUACUUCCUGUCUCUAUGAAUUUGCCUAUUGUAAAUAUUUCACAUAAUGGUAUCAUACACUAUCCUUUUGUGUCUAGCUUAUUUCACUUAGCAUAAUGUUUUCAAGGUUCAUCCAUCUUAUAGCAUGUAUCAGUAUUCCAUUCUUCUUUUCUAUGGCUGAAUAAUAAUUGUAUGUAUAUACUGC